UACGGAGGGGGCUAGCGUUGUUCGGAAUUACUGGGCGUAAAGGGCUCGUAGGUGGCCAACUAAGUCAGACGUGAAAUCCCUCAGCUUAACUGGGGAACUGCGUCUGAUACUGGAUGGCUUGAGUUUGGGAGAGGGAUGCGGAAUUCCAGGUGUAGCGGUGAAAUGCGUAGAUAUCUGGAGGAACACCGGUGGCGAAGGCGGCAUCCUGGACCAACACUGACACUGAGGAGCGAAGGCCAGGGGAGCAAACGGG
rnacentral:rRNA from 1 species